rnacentral:rRNA from 1 species
GAUAAACGCUGGCGGCGUGCCUAAUACAUGCAAGUCGAGCGAACGGACGAGAAGCUUGCUUCUCUGAUGUUAGCGGCGGACGGGUGAGUAACACGUGGAUAACCUACCUAUAAGACUGGGAUAACUUCGGGAAACCGGAGCUAAUACCGGAUAAUAUUUUGAACCGCAUGGUUCAAAAGUGAAAGACGGUCUUGCUGUCACUUAUAGAUGGAUCCGCGCUGCAUUAGCUAGUUGGUAAGGUAACGGCUUACCAAGGCAACGAUGCAUAGCCGACCUGAGAGGGUGAUCGGCCACACUGGAACUGAGACACGGUCCAGACUCCUACGGGAGGCAGCAGUAGGGAAUCUUCCGCAAUGGGCGAAAGCCUGACGGAGCAACGCCGCGUGAGUGAUGAAGGUCUUCGGAUCGUAAAACUCUGUUAUUAGGGAAGAACAUAUGUGUAAGUAACUGUGCACAUCUUGACGGUACCUAAUCAGAAAGCCACGGCUAACUACGUGCCAGCAGCCGCGGUAAUACGUAGGUGGCAAGCGUUAUCCGGAAUUAUUGGGCGUAAAGCGCGCGUAGGCGGUUUUUUAAGUCUGAUGUGAAAGCCCACGGCUCAACCGUGGAGGGUCAUUGGAAACUGGAAAACUUGAGUGCAGAAGAGGAAAGUGGAAUUCCAUGUGUAGCGGUGAAAUGCGCAGAGAUAUGGAGGAACACCAGUGGCGAAGGCGACUUUCUGGUCUGUAACUGACGCUGAUGUGCGAAAGCGUGGGGAUCAAACAGGAUUAGAUACCCUGGUAGUCCACGCCGUAAACGAUGAGUGCUAGGUGUUAGGGGGUUUCCGCCCCUUGGUGCUGCAGCUAACGCAUUAAGCACUCCGCCUGGGGAGUACGACCGCAAGGUUGAAACUCAAAGGAAUUGACGGGGACCCGCACAAGCGGUGGAGCAUGUGGUUUAAUUCGAAGCAACGCGAAGAACCUUACCAAAUCUUGACAUCCUUUGACAACUCUAGAGAUAGAGCCUUCCCCUUCGGGGGACAAAGUGACAGGUGGUGCAUGGUUGUCGUCAGCUCGUGUCGUGAGAUGUUGGGUUAAGUCCCGCAACGAGCGCAACCCUUAAGCUUAGUUGCCAUCAUUAAGUUGGGCACUCUAAGUUGACUGCCGGUGACAAACCGGAGGAAGGUGGGGAUGACGUCAAAUCAUCAUGCCCCUUAUGAUUUGGGCUACACACGUGCUACAAUGGACAAUACAAAGGGCAGCGAAACCGCGAGGUCAAGCAAAUCCCAUAAAGUUGUUCUCAGUUCGGAUUGUAGUCUGCAACUCGACUACAUGAAGCUGGAAUCGCUAGUAAUCGUAGAUCAGCAUGCUACGGUGAAUACGUUCCCGGGUCU